CCUGAUUAAUUCUCUUCACUUGGUUUCCAUUCAUCCAAUUGAAUACCAAAGCUAUUUUUAAAUAAAUGAUAUUUUUAAUACAAUUAUUUUGCAAACACAGCAUAUGCUUUGGUAUUCUUUAAAAAAAAAAAAAUCAAGAUGCAAUUUUGAUCAAAAACAUUAAUGCCAUUAACAUCAUUUGCUAAAUAGAGUUUAAUUAUAAUAAUUUGGUUGUUGAAGUGGUUAAUGGAACAUUAUUUUUCAAAAAAAAAAUGCAAACUCAUAAAGCUUAUUCAGAGACAUUGAUUUCAUAUCCCUAACUAACAGUCGUUUUCUCUCUUUUUUUAUUGACUAAAUACAAAUACAACAAUUAAUCAGUCACUAACUAAUUUUGGAUCUCCUUUCUUUUUCCUUCCUAAACUU
rnacentral:lncRNA from 1 species